CGUGAAUCUGCUGCGUGUCUCCAGGGAUCUGUCUUUUCUGGACGUUUCAGAUAAAUGGUAUAUAGGUGGGCUUUUGUGACUGGCUCCCUUCACUUGGCGUGUUUUAUGGACGGACCACAGGAGGUGAACCCACUCAUCUCUGCGUGGAUCGGUGGGUGGCCUGCACCUGUGGGCUAAUGAAAGGAAAUCUGAAACUCUUCUGGGAGACCGAAUGGAGACUUACCCAGAUGGAGAAUGGAAGACACCAAGGCAGAGACUGUGGAGUAUGGGCAAGGAGAGUGUGGCUUACACUGUGAGCCAGGACCCAGGACCCUGACGCUCAGACCAUGCAAGAUACGGUGUACAGGGACCACGUUCCACUCAGAAGCCAGGUCCAGCCAAGCUGUACCGACAGUGCUAACUCGGCAGGAAUCACUGUAAAAACGAGAAUCAAUUACAAUGCCUUCCCCAUCAAAUUGUUUUAUUAGGUUAAUUAAAC
ensembl:lncRNA